GACGAACGCUGGCGGCGUGCCUAAUACAUGCAAGUUGAGCGCUGAAGGUUGGUACUUGUACCCACUGGAUGAGCAGCGAACGGGUGAGUAACGCGUGGGGAAUCUGCCUUUGAGCGGGGGACAACAUUUGGAAACGAAUGCUAAUACCGCAUAAAAACUUUAAACACAAGUUUUAAGUUUGAAAGAUGCAAUUGCGUCACUCAAAGAUGAUCCCGCGUUGUAUUAGCUAGUUGGUGAGGUAAAGGCUCACCAAGGCGAUGAUACAUAGCCGACCUGAGAGGGUGAUCGGCCACAAUGGGAAUGAGACACGGCCCAAACUCCUACGGGAGGCAGCCGUAGGGAAUCUUCGGGAAAGGACGAAAGUCUGACCGAGCAACGCCGCGUGAGUGAAGAAGGUUUUCGGAUCGUAAAACUCUGUUGGUAGAGAAGAACGUUGGUGAGAGUGGAAAGCUCAUCAAGUGACGGUAACUACCCAGAAAGGGACGGCUAACUACGUG
rnacentral:rRNA from 1 species